UUACCUGCCAACGUUCAGUCCGUUCUCUCACGCUGCCGAGAAGAAACGUCGCCAUCUUAAGCUCGCUAAGAUUUUCAUCCACUCCAUCCCUUUCAUCAUUCUCUUUUGCGCCAUCGUUCUGUGGUUAUUCUCCGAUCCAGCUGUUCAACACUUAGUCACGUAACAAAGCCUAAAAGGUCAUAGAACUCAUGUGUGGCACUAUACCUCAGGAUUUGUUAUGGUCUAUGAAUUUGUCCUCAGUUUAGGACAACAGAUAUGGAUGAAGUUGUUACUUCUGAAACCUUACUUAAAGGAUCACUUACUCAAAUUAUCUUUUUGGAUAUUGUAAUUAACAGGGGCAACUAAGCUCUGUUAGUUUCCAAUAAAUACAGUUCAUUAAAUAAACGUAUGAAUUAUGAUGUAUGCUAUGUUUAUUAAGUUUGUACGCAUGAGAAUGCACUUUGAAAUCUUUGAUUAUUUAUGUAAAAACUGACCUCUCGGUGUGUUAGUUUGUCAUUCCCACAUGUCUAACUGUUAAAAAGCUUUGUUUACUUAUCUCAAAAUUGUGUUUUGUUUAAAAAACACCUCUGUACUUAAAAUUGCACCAUCACCCUUGACCUUUCAUAAACGUUAGAAUUUUAGACAGCGAAAUUAAGAGCCACAGAUUAAUGUGGGUGUGAGUCUGCUGACAUAAAAUGAAAUUUUGGAAUUUGGAUCACCACAAUAUUUUAGGUCCUAAUUUUGUUUGAAAUGCUAAAUGCUUGAAGGGUAGUUUUGACACGGAUAUGAAAGAUCAAUGGUAAUAUGACAAUUUUUAAAAGGAUAAGAUACUUUUGAAACACAAAAUUCAUAGAUAUUUUUUAAAAAAAGUUUAACUUAUAUGUACCCUAGGUGAUAGAUAGACAGUGGACUAAAUAAGAGCUUAUAUUCAAAACUUCUAUUCUCUGAAUCAAGAAUAUUGGUUCCGGUAGACUCAAUAAGAGCCGAAUCACUUCAAUUAUCUAAUACUUUCAUGUCUUUGUCUUUAUCCUUAAUCUUUUCUUAGUCUGGCUAGUUUGAAAUUUGAAUUGUUUGUUCGUAGAACAACCUAGGUCUGGCCCAGAGUCUGUGAGUACCCUUAAUUUACUUUCCUUUUUAUGAUGGCUCGAUGUCAUUUCUUUUUGUUGUGAUGUCUGAAAUCUUCCAUUGUUUAAUUUUGUUGUGCAUCUGAUGGGUAGGGCAUAGUAUGUUGGAAGGCGCCCACCCAUUUCAUUGGUUUCGUUCUAUGAAAAUAUAGCUGUGCCUUUAAAGUCAAAAACAAGAGUUUUUCCAGGGCUAAAUUGCAAUUAUUACUCUUGAACUUUGUCCAUCGUUUCAAAAAUAUCCUUGUUCUUUUGAGAUGUGCAAUAUUAUUCAUAACCUUUCGUAAUUGUUUCAAAACUAUUAUUGAGGUAGAAAUUAAUUAAAUUCAAAACUGAAUAUGUCAAUUAAGACCUGAACCCCACACCGUUUUAGGUUAUUUCCGCACCUAUUUUAAUUCCCAAUUUUCAUUCAAAAUUGUAAAGGAUUUUUACUCCAAGGUAAUGUUAGAUACUAGAUGAUUAGUAUGAGAUUAGGGGUAUGAGGGUAAUUAGUUAAGGAAUUGGUAACUAAUAGUCAAUACUGAAUGUCCUAAAUAGGAGGGUGGGUGAGGGAGGGGAGGCUAUUUUGUGGAGUGUUCUAGGGCUUGGGUGAGUACACUCACGAGGGAGGUUCCAGGUUCUUUUGUACUUGGGAUUAUUUUGUAUUUCUUAAUCAAUAUAAUUCAUAUCUUGGUACUCAUGCAACUUUUGAAAGAAUGUGAGAAUUUUAAUACAAAUGGCAGAGAUUAGAAGUUAUAUUUUUAGUUAGAUUGCAAACUUGGUUCUUAUACUUGAGAGAAAAUUAAUCUAUCUCUAUUGUGUUGAUAAAGUCUUCGUAUUUAGUUGUCCUAUAAUUUUCAUAUAGGUGUUAUUUAUGAGGAUUUUAUCAAACCAUAGAAACUAUUUAACGAGGUUUUAUCAAAAUCACAUGGACAAGUUAUAGCUUUUAAAGCUUUAAAGAUUAAAUUCUAACUCUGUCCAAAUCACAUAUACCUUAACCUAUUAUUUUACAAACUAAGCUUAUAUUUCUUGUAGGCCUUUAGUUUUUAGUUUUUACUUUUUGUAUAGAAAUUUGUCUUCAUUUUUUUAUUGAGAACUUUGUUACUCUAAAUGUUGGAUAAUGUAUUUUGUUGUCUUGUACUCAUACAAACUAUAAUAAUUAAUCAACUUCAUAGUUGACAUUAUAUGUUUCCUCACCGGAGUACCUCUAGUAUUUUAUGUUAAAUUUACAUAUAUUCUCAACUUGUCUAUAUUCUAAUAUUUUAGAAAUCGGUGUAUUAUUGUUGAGCCCUAUCGUAUUUUUGUUUAUGCUUAUCUAUCACCACCCAGAGGAAAGGGAAAAACAUUUCUUUUUCGAUCUAAGCACUUGAAAAAUGAUUUAAUCAUAAGCAGUUUAUCAUGGAUUAUAUUCACGAAUUGUAGUUUAUGAUGGUGUUGGCAGGUUUACUAUUCAACUGAGGAUGAAAAACUUCCCGUGAUGGUUCUGUGGCAUAAAACAUUGGGCAACUGAGAGUAGUGGAAGAUGAAAAGAAUCCUAUGAAAACAGGUGGAUUAAAUUGCCCCCACAUAAUGGCAUUCACAGGAAGGGUUGUCGUGCAGCAGUCGUUGUUGUUCUAGAUAAGCCAUUUCUGUUCUCUUCACUCUUCUUUUCUUUUUCAUCUUCAUUAUGACUCAACUAUUAUUUCUAUCUAUUAUGCUUUAAUUGCUA